rnacentral:rRNA from 1 species
GACGUAGGGGGCCGGCGUUGUUCGGAAUUACUGGGUGUAAAGGGUUCGUAGGCGGUGCGGCAAGUUGGGAGUGAAAUCUCUGGGCUUAACCCAGAGGCUGCUUCCAAAACUGCUGUGCUUGAGUGUGGGAGAGGCGCGUGGAAUUGCAGGUGUAGCGGUGAAAUGCGUAGAUAUCUGCAGGAACACCCGUGGCGAAAGCGGCGCGCUGGACCACUACUGACGCUGAGGAACGAAAGCUAGGGGAGCAAACAGG